UCGGGAAUUUUGGGCAAUGGGCGAAAGCCUGACCCAGCAACGCCGCGUGAGGGAUGAAGUAUUUCGGUAUGUAAACCUCGAAAGAAUGGGAAGAAUAAAUGACGGUACCAUUUAUAAGCUCCGGCUAACUACGUGCCAGCAGCCGCGGUAAUACGUAGGAGCAAGCGUUGUUCGGAUUUACUGGGCGUAAAGGGCGCGUAGGCGGCGCGGUAAGUCACUUGUGAAAUCUCUGAGCUUAACUCAGAACGGCCAAGUGAUACUGCUGUGCUAGAGUGCGGAAGAGGCAACCGGAAUUCUUGGUGUAGCGGUGAAAUGCGUAGAUAUCAAGAGGACCACCUGAGGCGAAGGCGGGUUGCUGGGCCGACACUGACGCUGAUGCGCGAAAGCCAGGGGAGCAAACG
rnacentral:rRNA from 1 species